UGCCAGCCGCCGCGGUAAGACGGAGGGUGCUAGCGUUAUUCGGAAUGACUGGGCGUAAAGGGCGUGUAGGCGGUUAUAUAAGUUAGACGUGAAAGCCCCGGGCUUAACCUGGGAACAGCGUUUAAUACUGUAUGACUAGAGACCGAGAGAGGAAAGCGGAAUUCCUAGUGUAGAGGUGAAAUUCGUAGAUAUUAGGAGGAACACCAGAGGCGAAGGCGGCUUUCUGGCUCGGAUCUGACGCUGAGGCGCGAAAGCGUGGGUAGCAAACAGGAUUAGAUA
rnacentral:rRNA from 1 species